AGUAGCCCAUUCACUGAUGUGGAGAAUCCGGAUACUGCAUUACCCCAGAACAAAGGACACAUUACACCAGACUGGAUCAUCAUCCUUGGUUUUAUUGUCGGUGUUGCAGCAAUGACAAUGGUCUGCGUUGCCAUCGCUACCAGAGAAAAGUGAGACUUUA